rnacentral:rRNA from 1 species
AGCCGCGGUAAUACCCGCGGUCCAAGUCGCAGCCAUCAUUAUUGGGUCUAAAACAUCCGUAGCUUGCUUGAUAAGUUUCUUGUGAAAUUCCAUGUCUCAAAUAUGGAGCGGGCAAGAAGUACUGUUAAGCUAGAGACUGGAAGACGUAAGAAGUACGUUUGGAGUAGCGGUAAAAUGUGUUAAUCCCAGACGGACUAACAACAGCGAAGGCAUCUUACGAGGACAGUUCUGACAGUAAGGGAUGAAGGCUAGGGGCGCGAAACGGAUUAGAUACCCGUGUAGUCCUAGCAGUAAACACUGCACACUAAACAUUAGUACCUCCUCGAGAGGUGUUAGUGCUGAAGAGAAGUCGAAGAGUGUGCUACCUGGGAAGUAUAGUCGCAAGGCUGAAACUUAAAGGAAUUGGCGGGGAGACACUACAACGGGUGACGCGUGCGGUUCAAUUAGAUUCUACACCGUGAACCUCACCAGGAGCGACAGCAGGAUGAAGGUCAGUCUAAAGGGCUUACCUGACACGCU